UAAUAUUGGCCGCCAGAGAACUACAAACGAAAAGUUUAAAACUCAAAGGAUUUGGCGGUACCCAACCCCGGCCUAGAGGAGCCUGUCCUAUAAUCGAUACCCCACGUUUUACCUUACCACCCCUUGCAACUCAGCCUACACACCGCCCGUCACCCUCAACCUUAUGAAAGAACACAAGUAGACAAAAAAGUUACCAACUAAUACGUCAGGUCAAGGUGUAGCACAUGGGCUGGAAGAGAUGGGCUACAUUUUCUUAAGCAGAAAAUACCAACAGCACAAUGAAACAAGUGCCAAAAGGCGGAUUUAGCAGUAAGAUUGACAAGAUACACCAUUUUAAACACGCUUUAGGGUGCGCACACACCGCCCGU
rnacentral:rRNA from 1 species